rnacentral:sRNA from 1 species
CAUCUUCAACCUGUUGCGGGCAGAUCCAGUGGAUGUGGCUGUCAAAUCCGCCAGCCGUCAGGAUCUUGCCUUCCCCGGCAAUCGCUUCCGUUCCCGGGCCAACGAUAAUAUCGACAUUCGGUUGUGUGUCGGGGUUUCCGGCCUUGCCUAUCGCGGCAAUGCGUCCAUCCUUAAGACCGACAUCGGCCUUGUAGAUGCCUGUAACAUCUACAAUCAGUGCGUUGGUGAUGAUCGUAUCAACAGCGCCAUCUGCGCGGGUGGUCUGGGCUUGUCCCAUGCCAUCACG